CAGUAGCCCAGUUGGAUAGAGCAACGGCCUUCUAAGCCGUGGGUCGGGGGUUCGAAUCCCUCCUGG
rnacentral:tRNA from 1 species